rnacentral:rRNA from 2 species
GGAUGAACGCUGGCGGCGUGCCUAAUACAUGCAAGUCGAGCGAACUGAUUAGAAGCUUGCUUCUAUGACGUUAGCGGCGGACGGGUGAGUAACACGUGGGCAACCUGCCUGUAAGACUGGGAUAACUUCGGGAAACCGAAGCUAAUACCGGAUAGGAUCUUCUCCUUCAUGGGAGAUGAUUGAAAGAUGGUUUCGGCUAUCACUUACAGAUGGGCCCGCGGUGCAUUAGCUAGUUGGUGAGGUAACGGCUCACCAAGGCAACGAUGCAUAGCCGACCUGAGAGGGUGAUCGGCCACACUGGGACUGAGACACGGCCCAGACUCCUACGGGAGGCAGCAGUAGGGAAUCUUCCGCAAUGGACGAAAGUCUGACGGAGCAACGCCGCGUGAGUGAUGAAGGCUUUCGGGUCGUAAAACUCUGU